UACAGAGGCCUCGAGCGUUGUUCGGAAUUACUGGGCGUAAAGGGAAUGUAGGCGGUGACGUAAGUCAGAUGUGAAAGCCCCGGGCUUAACCCUGGAAGUGCAUUUGAUACUGCGUUGCUAGAGUGUGUGAGAGGAAAGCGGAAUUCCCGGUGUAGGAGUGAAAUCCGUAGAUAUCGGGAGGAAUACCGAUGGCGAAGGCAGCUUUCUGGCACAUAACUGACGCUGAGAUUCGAAAGCGUGGGUAGCAAACAGG
rnacentral:rRNA from 1 species